GACGAACGCUGGCGGCGUGCUUAACACAUGCAAGUCGAACGGAAAGGCCCUGCUUUUGUGGGGUGCUCGAGUGGCGAUCGGGUGAGUAACACGUGAGUAACCUGCCCUCGACUUUGGGAUAACUUCAGGAAACUUGGGCUAAUACCGGAUAGGAGCUCCUGCUGCAUGGUGGGGGUUGGAAAGUUUCGGCGGUUGGGGAUGGACUCGCGGCUUAUCAGCUUGUUGGUGGGGUAGUGGUUUACCAAGGCUUUGACGGGUAUCCGGCCCUAGAGGGUUACCGGCCACAUUGGGACUGAGGUACGGCCCAGACUCCAACGGGAGGCAGCAGUGGGGAAUAUUGCACAAUGGGCGGAAGCCUGAUGCAGCAACGCAGCGUGCGGGAUGACGGCCUUCGGGUUGUAAACCGCUUUCGCCUGUGACGAAGCGUGAGUGACGGUAAUGGGUAAAGAAGCACCGGCUAACUACGUG
rnacentral:rRNA from 1 species